CCCGGCCCGCCGACGGAGACCCGCGGGGGGAAACGAGGGGAAGACCGGACCGGCGGGUCCACGCCCUCCCCUUCAUCAUCCUCCACCGCCAUAGCGGGGCCGGGUUGAGGAGGAUGAAGAGGAGAAGGGAAAGGUGGGGGGGGGGGGGGGGGCGUGUGUGUGCGUGUAGCGGAGUAGAGGGCGGGCUCAGCGUCUCCUCCUGAGGGGGACUACUUGACGUGUCGGUGCGGCGAAUUUAUUUCCCUUUGCCUAAGGAACGGGUAGUGCUGCGGCCCCCAUUGCCUAGGGAAAAAGCCCGGAUGUAAAAGUUGGCUGCAUUGAGUAGCAGAGCUUUGAAUUUUAUUGAGGAAACAAGACACCCAAAAACUCAGAACCAUUCUGGAACCCACAGGUUUUCACCCUGUUUCUCAACCACGAGAAGGAAAGCAUAGCCCAUGAGCAGCAGCUGACUCGGGCUGGAAGCCAGUCCAUGCCAGCACUCACUGGAUUCCAUCCACUUGCCACAGCCCAUCAGAGAUCCCCCAAGUGACAGCGACAAAGAGGUGUCUUGUGAUCCCAAUUCAUGUGCACGCAGGGCAAGAACCACACCUUCCAAUAGGCAAGCAGAUAAACAAGCUGCAACCACAGACUGAGCUGGUUCACCCAGGAGAUUGCCUCGCUUAGAAGGCCACGUCCACUCUCCUUUCUUGAAAUCACCCU